rnacentral:piRNA from 1 species
UUCUCCUCUUAGGUUUGAGGU